UACAGAGGUCUCAAGCGUUGUUCGGAUUCAUUGGGCGUAAAGGGUGCGUAGGUGGCGCUGUAAGUCGGGUGUGAAAUUUCGGAGCUUAACUCCGAAACUGCAUUCGAUACUGCCGUGCUUGAGGACUGGAGAGGAGACUGGAAUUUACGGUGUAGCGGUGAAAUGCGUAGAUAUCGUAAGGAAGACCAGUGGCGAAGGCGGGUCUCUGACAGUUCCUGACGCUGAGGCACGAAGGCCAGGGGAGCAAACGGG
rnacentral:rRNA from 1 species